GAUGAAGAACGUAGCGAAAUGCGAUAAGUAAUGUGAAUUGCAGAAUUCAGUGAAUCAUCGAAUCUUUGAACGCACAUUGCGCCCCCUGGUAUUCCGGGGGGCAUGCCUGUUCGAGCGUCAUUUCACCACUCAAGCCUCGCUUGGUAUUGGGCAACGCGGUCCGCCGCGUGCCUCAAAUCGACCGGCUGGGUCUUCUGUCCCCUAAGCGUUGUGGAAACUAUUCGCUAAAGGGUGUUCGGGAGGCUACGCCGUAAAACAACCCCAUUUCUAAGGUUGACCUCGGAUCAGGUAGGGAUACCCGCUGAACUUAAGCAUACAAUAAGCGGAGGA
rnacentral:misc_RNA from 1 species